GUCAACAGACAAGUCUGGGAACUCAUGAAAAUACCAAAGGUCAAAGGGCUUAUCUAAAGAGCAUGGCAAAGCAAAGAUACGGUGUUUGUUUCAAAGUCAUUCUUAAUAAUCUGAGUUUGGAUCACUGAUGCAUCAAGUCAAUGAUAUAUGUAGCGGUUGGAAGAAAGGUUAAAUGUGACGGGGGCAAGAACAAUUGCCAAAAGCCAAAGCCACAAACCAGCCACCAUGUUUUAAACUAACAAGUUUUCUUUGUAUGAAAUAGGAACGUAUGCUACCUUCGAAUCAAGGAUUCCAAAGCCUAAACAUCAAAGGCCAUAAUAUUCUCACUUUUACAAAUGCAAGAGGCGAUGUUACUGCACAAAUUUGGUAUUCAAAGCCAUGGUAAAACUCAUAAUCCAAUAUCUCUAGGAGACACACUUCCUUAUUUGGGUAAUUCAAGCAACAUUCGUAAGGAGAUGCACUUCCUUAUUUGGGUAAUUCAAGCAACAUUUGUAAGGGGACGCACUUCCUUGUUUGGACAAUUCAAGCAACAUUUUUAAGGAAAUGCACUUCCUUCUUUUGGUAAUUCAAGCGACAUUUGUAAGGAGAUGCACUUCCUUGUUUGGGUAAUUCAAGAGACAUUUGUAAGGAGACGCACUUUCCUGUUUGGGAAAUUCAAGUAGCAUUUGUGAGGAGAUGCACUUCUUUAUUUGGUCAAUUCAAGUGACAUUUGUAAGGAGAUGUACUUUCUUGUUUGGGUAAUUCAAGAAGCAUUAGUAACGAGACACACUUUCUUGUUUUGGUAAUUUAAGCGGAAUUGGUAAGGAGACGCACUUCCUUAUUUUGGUAAUUCAAUAGGCAUUGGUAAGGACACACACUUACCUAUUUCGGUAUUUCUAGCAAUAUUUUUAAGGAGACGCACUUUCUUGUUUGGGUAAUUCAUCCGGCAUUUGUAACGAGACGCAUUCUUUGUUUGGGUAAUUCAAGUGGCAUUGGUAAGGAGACGAACUUUCUUAUUUCAGUAAUUCAAGUGGCUUUUGUAAGGAGACAUACUUCCUUAUUUGGGUAAUUCAACCGACAUUUGUAAGGAGAUGCACUUCCGUAUUUUGGUAAUUCAAGCGGCAUUUGUAAGGAGACACACUUCCUUGUUUUGAUAACUGAAGCAACAUUGGAGCCCGCCCAAAGCAUAAGGCGAAUAAAUGGAAAGUCAAACAACAAGAUGAAGAAAUUGAAAGUCAGGCAACAAGUUGAAGAAAUUACAAGUCAGGAGCCCACCUGAAGAAUAGGGUGAUGAAACUCAAGUCAAGAGUCCAAAAGAAGCCGCAUAGAUAGGACUUUUGCAAUUUCAUUUAUGUUUUAACUUGUAGUUUUUGUUUUUGAUGUAAUGACAGAGCCGCAGACCGGAACCUCGACAGAACCUCGCUCGACUCUCCAACUCGGUAUAGUCCCUCUUCUUUCAGUCCUUGGGGAUACCUGUGAAUUGAUUCCCUCAUAACUAGGGAUGAGUAUGAUGUCCAAAGUCAAGACUUGGUUUCCCUCCUUCCUUCUGUUUCAUUCUUUUUGAAUAAUGGUCGGGAUAAAAUUUUGUCUUGUUUUCUACUUCUUUGUCUGAAAACACUUCAUGUUUACAUUCAAAGGGGGCAUGCUGUAGACACCCAAUUUUGUCCCUCCCAAGUCCAAUUUUAUUCAUUUUUACCUCACUUUAUUGUACACCCUCAUCCAUGUAAUUAUACCCCACAAAAAUACAAAAAAAAUAACAACCCUUAACAUAAUCCCUAACAAAUUCUAUCUUAUUUUAAUUCUAUCCUAACCAACUUUACACCUCAUCCUAACAACCUACCCAAUCAAAAUAGACACCUCACUCAUGGACCCCACAUUCCAUCAAUAUAAUUUCCAUUCACUGGAAUAGAUUAGGGGAGGCCUUUUUUCCUUUCUCUUUGAUCUUCUUCUCCAUUUUUUCCAAAAACACACAGGUACAGGGGAUUUUUUAUUCUUCUUGAUCAAUCCAUAUACACAGAACAUACGCACCACUGGAUUUUUUUCCUCAACAUAGAACACACCACGCCAUUUUUUUCCGUUUCUUAUUCAGUGAUCACCACAAAAUUUCCAAUUCUACUGGCAUAGUAUUUUCACCAGCUCACUGAAAACUUAGAAAAUACACACAGUAAGAAUAAGAGAGGGGAGUGAGAGUGAGAGAUGGAGAGAGGCAUAGAGAGUUAAAAGAGAAACGGUAAGAAAUCAUUGAAGGUAAAAGAGAUUUGAGCGAGCCAGAGAGAUCGAGAGAGAGACAGGGAGACCAUUGGACUGCUUUCUGGUGAAGCUCUCGCCGGUGACUCACUAGAAUCGCCAUUGAGAAAGCUCUGCUAAUCUCGUUCCAACCAUACUCGCAUCAAGAAGUCAGUCCCGAUCUCGGUUUUCCGUCUGAAUCUCAUCGAAAGGUAAGUCAGCCAUCUAAUCCAUAAAAAUUUGAGCCGUUUUAGUUUAUUCUAUCCAAAUUUUAUCGGAAAACGAUAAAAAUUGAAAAGGUUCAGUCGGAUUAUUCGGGUUAGUUUGGGUUUUUUUGUUCAAGUUGUGAGUUUGUUUGUUGAGAAUUUUGACUGAUUUGAUUUACUCUGUUGCAAUUUUGGUCUUGGCUCAUCUGUCUUUUAACUGAUUUUGGGAUUUAGAUUCUGUUUCGUCCCGAUCAAUUCACCGUAAUUAGUUUUGGGCUUCACUUUUUUUAUACCGAGUUGGAUUCUUGAUCGUGAUUGGGGGUUUUGUUCGAGGAUUUUGGACGCGGAUUCUACCGUGUUAAUUAAAAUAAUACAUCGAUUUUUGAAAGCACUGAGGUCCAAUUCUAUCUUCUCUCUUUUUAAUUUUUAUGUAAUUGUGAAUGAUAUAUGUGUUGGUAUGUUUGAAUCUUGAUUAUGUAUUUGUUGAUGUUGGAUUUGAAUGUUGAAAAGUGAAUUGAUAAUCGAUGCAUGUGUUAAUUAUUGGUUGAGAAUGAAUUUGGAGAGGAUUUGAAAAAUUGCUAAAGUGAAUUAGGAUUAAUUUUGAUUUUUUUGUUGUUUUGAUUCAUUGACGUCGUCGAUCGUGAUAGUGCCAUGAUAGGUCGAGUUGGGUAGGAAAAUAGUAGGUUUGGGUUGGCAAAUUUUAGGAAUUGUGGAAUGUUGAAUGGCUUGGUUUUAUUGCUUUUAGAUCAAAUGUAUUAUUUGGCUGGGGAAUGCCCCAAGGUAUUUGUGUUUAUUCGUCGGGGAAUUCCCCGCGGUAUUUUGUACUCAGAGGACGUCUGUGAUGAAGGCUCGAGGCAUCGGGUAAAGCACAGGAGCGUAGUUCAGGAUUAGUGUAGGUUAGAAUAGGAUUUAUUUUUUCAUAUUUUUUAUUUUGAACUGUAUAAUUGGACUCCGCGGUAUUUUGUACUCAGAGGACGUCUGUGAUGAAGGCUCGAGGCAUCGGGUAAAGCACAGGAGCGUAGUUCAGGAUUAGUGUAGGUUAGAAUAGGAUUUAUUUUUUCAUAUUUUUUAUUUUGAACUGUAUAAUUGGACUGAACACUAUAUUUUGGAUUUGUUUUAUUU
rnacentral:lncRNA from 1 species